rnacentral:rRNA from 1 species
GAUGAACGCUGGCGGCGUGCCUAACACAUGCAAGUCGAACGAUGAAACCGCCCUCGGGCGGACAUGAAGUGGCGAACGGGUGAGUAACACGUGACCAACCUGCCCCUUGCUCCGGGACAACCUUGGGAAACCGAGGCUAAUACCGGAUACUCCUCGCCCCCCUCCUGGGGGGCCCGGGAAAGCCCAGACGGCAAGGGAUGGGGUCGCGGCCCAUUGGGUAGUAGGCGGGGUAACGGCCCACCUAGCCCGCGAUGGGUAGCCGGGUUGAGAGACCGACCGGCCACAUUGGGACUGAGAUACGGCCCAGACUCCUACGGGAGGCAGCAGUGGGGAAUUUUGCGCAAUGGGGGCAACCCUGACGCAGCAACGCCGCGUGCGGGACGACGGCCUUCGGGUUGUAAACCGCUUUCAGCAGGGAAGAAAUUCGACGGUAC